GCAGGAUGAGGAUGCCCGUGGCUUAAGGAUGUGCAGGGGUAAACAGCUCCACUUUCCCUGUGUGACUCCAGACCACACCUCAGGCCUCCCCGCACCUGAAGCCACCUGUCAAGGUGUUUCCCCAAACACGAUGACCCUGUCCCUCAGGGGGGCGCUGGCAGGGAGUGUUGAAAUCACACACUUUUAACCCUACAAGUGAUCCUUAAAGACACCGGGUGGGAUAUUUUCCCAUGAGGCUGAGAGAGGACAAGGGACCCCGACCCCCUGAAGUCAGAGAUGGUCCUUCUCAGGCCACACUUGGAGCUCAGACAAAAGUCCCCUGGUCCAGCGCUCAUAUCGCCCGUCAUCCGCCAACCCUCGAGGCUGCAGCCCCCCUCUGUCUGCAACCCUCUGCUCUCCUAGGUUGGCGCGGUAGUGGCUUUUGCUCUGCUGUCAUGUCCUAUUUCUUCAAGAGACACCGGAAAUCGGCGUCCUCCGACCCAGAAGACAUUGAGUACCACAGGAGAGACGAGUGGAAGUCAAUGAGCAAGCAAGACCCAGCUCGUUUGCGCAGCGUUCCAAUGAAGUCU